rnacentral:rRNA from 1 species
CCUACGGGGGGCAGCAGUGGGGAAUAUUGCGCAAUGGGGGCAACCCUGACGCAGCAACGCCGCGUGAUUGAAGAAGGCCUUCGGGUUGUAAAGAUCUUUAAUCAGGGACGAAAAAUGACGGUACCUGAAGAAUAAGCUCCGGCUAACUAGGUUCAAGCAGCCGCGGUAAUACGUAGGGAGCAAGCGUUAUCCGGCUUUACUGGGUGUAAAGGGCGUGUAGGCGGGCUUGUAAGUCAGAAGUGAAAUCUGGGGGCUUAACCCCCAAACUGCUUUUGAAACUGCGGGUCUUGAGUGAUGGAGAGGCAGGCGGAAUUCCCAGUGUAGCGGGGAAAUGCGUAGAUAUUGGGAGGAAAACCAGUGGCGAAGGCGGCCUGCUGGACAUUAACUGACGCUGAGGCGCGAAAGCGUGGGGAGCAAACAGGAUUAGAUACCCCGGUAGUC